rnacentral:rRNA from 1 species
GUGUCAGCAGCCGCGGUAAUACGGGGGUGGCGAGCGUUACUCGGAUUCAUUGGGUGUAAAGGACAGGUAGGUGGUCAUGCAAGUUGGAGGUGAAAUCCUGCGGCUCAACCGCAGAACUGCCUUCAAAACUGCAUGACUUGAGGCUAGAAGAGGAGAGCGGAAUUCCCGGUGUAAGGGUGAAAUCUGUAGAUAUCGGGAGGAACACCAGUGGCGAAAGCGGCUCUCUGGUCUAGAUCUGACACUGAUCUGUGAAAGCUAGGGGAGCAAACAGGAUUAGAAACCCUGGUAGUCC